GAUGAACGCUGGCGGUAUGCUUAACACAUGCAAGUCGAACGAAAUCUUUCGGGAUUUAGUGGCGGACGGGUGAGUAACGCGUGAGAAUCUGCCUUCAGGUCUGGGACAACCACUGGAAACGGUGGCUAAUACCGGAUGUGCCGAAAGGUGAAAGGUUAACUGCCUGAAGAUGAGCUCGCGUCUGAUUAGCUAGUAGGUGUGGUAAAGGCGCACCUAGGCGACGAUCAGUAGCUGGUCUGAGAGGACGAUCAGCCACACUGGGACUGAGACACGGCCCAGACUCCUACGGGAGGCAGCAGUGGGGAAUUUUCCGCAAUGGGCGAAAGCCUGACGGAGCAAUACCGCGUGAGGGAGGAAGGCUCUUGGGUCGUAAACCUCUUUUCUCAGGGAAGAACACAAUGACGGUACCUGAGGAAUAAGCAUCGGCUAACUCCGUGCCAGCAGCCGCCGUAACAC
rnacentral:rRNA from 1 species